rnacentral:rRNA from 1 species
GGUUGACCUCGGAUCAGGUAGGGCUACCCGCUGAACUUAAGCAUAUCAAUAAGCGGAGGAAAAGAAACCAACAGGGAUUGCCUCAGUAACGGCGAGUGAAGCGGCAAGAGCUCAAAUUUGAAAUCUGGCCCCCUUGGGGGUCCGAGUUGUAAUUUGGAGAGGAUGCUUCGGGAGUGGCCCCCAUCUAAGUGCCCUGGAACGGGCCGUCAUAGAGGGUGAGAAU